AUGUCAGUCAUUUACUCGCAUGCAGGUCGUCAACAUCCUGAACUCGACUUGAAGUUGCAGUUAAACCUUCAUUUUGUCACAGCAGUGUCUCAUUUCUUCUCUUUAGAUGAUGAACGUAACACAAACCAGCGGAGUCGAGUGGCGCGCAUCGCCUUCGUCAGAUUUGCCUUCGUGCUCCUGCUCCUCCUCAUGAAGAAGGAGGUCACCAUCUGCGAGGCGGUGCAGCCAAGUCACACUCUGAAUCUAUUAAUCAGAGCUGCGUUGGAACAGACAACUGCGAGACGCCAUAAUCUAAAUAUUGGCUGCGACGCAUCAGGGGAGAGGCUGGUGGUUGGUAGAGAACGGACGUGCAGCGGCCGCUUUAUUAGGAACCCAAGGAAUGACUGAGGCCCAUGAGAGGACGGCGCUGAUACGAGGUGCUUUUGUUUUGGCCACUGAGAAACUCAGCGAAUCCUGAGGAGCUGAAACACAAAGUAGGUUCAUCAUUUAGACCAGGAUGAAGACGAACAGCAGGUUGUUAAGAGCCUCGCGUCACUGUCAUCAGUCCGCUCAGGGUCUCAUCCUGGCACUCCUGGACUUCAUUACCCAGCAUUCAUAGCUGCCCAGUCCAGUAUGGUAAGUUCACGUGAUGCAGGACGUGAUGAGACUCCGCUGGCUUCUAAUCACUCUAUUAAUGAUACUUUCCAAGUGUUUUGAUUUUUAAGUAACAAGAGAUGUGAUUUGGUGGCAUCUUUAAACUAAUUACCACUGAAUUACUGCUGCUUAUUUUGGCAUUAGUCACUGCUUCCCCGUCUUUAGCCUGUGGUUUCAAAGACGUGCCACUAAAUGCCUUUGAUUCUCUCCCCCCGCAGGCUUCAAACGAUGCUGCUACUGCCAGGAUGUAGAUGUGCAGCGUAUAUGACAGCUGAUGUCGGCGCUCGUUACCAUUACAGACUCCUAAUAAAUGCUUACUGAGCUGUCA
rnacentral:lncRNA from 1 species